ensembl:ncRNA T02C5.7 ncRNA
AUUGGACCUGUGACUCGUUGGAAUCUUUCGAAAACCAGUGGAACAGCGCAUUUCGUCGUUUUCGGAGAAGUUCGGCGGCACGCUGUCGUUUGACUGCCUCUAGCUAAUUAUACCUCAUUUUCAAGCUCAUCCUACACUUCAGAAAAAA